GUUGAUCUGGGAGGGGUCAUUAAUGGCAAAACGGUAAUUUUGUGAAAAGCACAACAUUUUAUGUACCGUUUUGUGUGAAAUCGAAUGUGGAGGUGUAUUUGCGCAUUUUACUUGCGUGGUGAGGGACUCAGAUUAAAAUAUUCGAGUUUGGUGGACUUAUACACAAUUAGUUGAUCCCUCGGCCACCCCUCCUCCCUCACCUCGUGUGCAGCGCGCCUUCCGGCGGCUGCCGAUCGAACUCCGGUCAGCCACCACCUCCUCAGCCCCUUUUCUCCCUUUCCCUCUCUUAUUUUCCACCAUCUUCUCUACCAAGCUUGAACCCGAGCUUA
rnacentral:lncRNA from 1 species